rnacentral:lncRNA from 1 species
UUGCCGCGACAUUGGGCCGAAGUCCAGAAACAUCUAAACCUACAUCGGGCACAGCCCGACAUCGGACCUUAGUCCAGCAUAUGCUAACAUACAUAAACAGGACGACAUUGGUGCCUUUAACCCGUUCCUACUAGAGGAAAACUCACUUUACAAAACUGGCUGCUGAAUCUCUCGGUAAGGAAUCUCUAUUGGCAGCUUCUGCGACUCCCCGACUAACAUUAUCACAAUAACACUUAGUCAAAAUUUAACAUCAUUCUUAGGGUAAAAUGGCCAUUUUACCCCUGGUCUAAUUUUGACCCAUGUACCGGGCCCGGUCAGAACUAAGUUGAUGUGUUCAAUUAAGUUCUAUGUCAAACAAAUCAGAAAUCGGGAAACAAAUGCUGGACAAUAAGCAAGACAAUGUUCCAUGUAUUUGUCCGGCUGAUAUCUAGAACGGAGGAUUAUAUGAUCACUUAUCUUAAAUGGCGUACCAUCAUCUUCUCAGUUCCGAGAAACCUUGAAAAGAGCUACGAUUGCCGAUCGGUUCCUGAAGUACUAGAGAUAUAGUUAUUAGACUUAUCCAAGUGGGAGACUGUUGGAUAAGGUGUCUAAGUCCAUAACUAUUUCGGGCUUGUACUUGACCCGACCCGGCAUGGUCCAUUUGGGUUGCAUGGCACCAUGCAAUUGGAUAGACUAAAUGAGAGAAAUAACACUUGGAGAUUAUUAAUAUAUUAUAAGUUCUAAUAUAUUAAUAAUAUUAUUUGAUUAGUUGAUCAAAGAAUUAAUUUGGAAUUAAUUAAGUGAUCAAAGGAUAACUAAUUAAAUAUAUGGGUUGAUUAUGUAAAUCAUCCAUAUCUUGUAUAGUGGGCUAAGAGGCUCCAUGGAUUAUCAAGUUGGGUUCUACCCAUAGGAUGCUCCAUGGAUGCUCCAUGGGAGUUACAAACCCAUGGGUCAUGGAAAUGAAGAGUCAUGACACAUUAGGGUUUACAUGGUGUAACCCUAGAUGUGCCAACACUAUAUAAGAGUCCCAUUCUCCACAAAAUUGGCUACACAAGUUGAACACUAAGAAACUAGAGGGCUUGGCCGAUUUUGAGAAGUGUGUGUUAUCUCAAGAGUCUUUCCAAGAGCAUUUGGUGUUGUGUGAAGCAUUUGAGGCAUCACACUUGGGGUGCUAGGCUCACAAGGUUUCAAGGAACACAAGCAACAACAAGGUAAGUUAUUCUAUCUAUGAUUCAAGUUAAAAUUGUUCCCCAUGUAUGCUAGAUAGGAAUAUAACCUUGGAAUUCAACUUUGCAUGAUAAUUAGACAAACAUAGAUCCAAGGUUAUUAGGGUUGCAUGUACACUUAGGAAGUGUUAGAAUGCUCAAAACCCAUCAGUGGUAUCAGAGCCUAGGCUUGUUUGUUUGUUAUUUGUGCUUAAAAGUUGAAGAAAGUCGAAAAUUCUGCUGUCUGACUGAUGGACUCGGCGAGUCCAUGGGGAGGACUCGUCGAGUUCAUGUGUAUCUUCAACCUACUCGGCGAGUAGGUUUAUGCACUCGGCGAGUAGGGUCGACAGAGUGCAGAAUUUCGACUUGAGUUGCUGGAAAUGGAUUAGAAUCAUUACCCUAAAAUGUUUUGGUACUUGAAAACUUAUUUUAGAAGGUGUAAUGUCUUUUCUAACUCAUUUACAACAACUAGUUAUCAAAAUUACAAAGAUUAAAUGUGAUUUUGAUUCUUGAAAGUGUUCAUAUUCAUAUUCUUGUUCUUAUGAUGUUUAGAUGAUCAUAGGAAUUAUUUGUAACCUAUGUGGUAGAUUAAUUCAUGAUCAUAAUGUGUUUUAAUGGAGUCCAUAACUUGUCCUCAAGUUAUGGAAAACCAAAAGUCUCUUGGAUUAAAAACCAUUAAAAGAACACAAGAGUUAGGAAAAAUGAAAAGUCCUCAUUUUAUUACUCUAUUAAACUCAUAAGUUACAAGAAAUGAAAAGUUUUGAAAGUUUACAAAACUUGCCCUCAAGUUUUGGAACAAGUAAAGUUAAGUUAAAACUUUAGUUCCAACCCCUAGAAUUUUAAAAGUUAAAAUUCAACCCUUAUACUUAUAUUAUUAUGAUUUAAUAAUUAUAUAUAUAUGUAUAAGAACAAAGUCGUCUUACCGCUAGUACGCCUCAUUCACGAAGCCGGUCUAUAAGGUGGGUAUAAGGUUGUUGCCUAUAAAAUGGUGACUUAAUGGGUGUCCACUCUCACCCACCGCUUGCUUGAUCGGUGGAGGGUCGUUAGCCGAACGGGUAAGACAAGGACUUAUUAAUUCUCAUUCAAAGUAUGAUGAAUAUUAUAAAGUAACUAAAUGUUUUAUUAAAUUCCCAAUCUUAGUUACUUUAGGAAAAAUGUGAAUAAGGUGCUAUUCCAUGAAAUUACACUUUACACUUUGAUUAAGUCGUUGGUGGAGCGUGUGUGGUUAACCGGCACACUAACUUGGACUUAACAAGGUAGGUAAAGGGUGACUUAGGGUUUAUUAUAGUAUCGAUGGAGCGUGUGUGGUUAACCGGCACAUCGAUUGAGUGAUAAACUUUAAGGGUACCAAGUGAUUUGCAUGGUUACUUCACACCUCGUUUUGUGAUCCUCGGUAUCCCAGUCACAAAACUUGGAGGGCACACUCGAGAUUGAAACAUGCCUUUGAAAAGUUCAUUGAAUCUCAAAGAAUCUAGGAAUUUCUAAGAACCAUUCAAAAACCUAAUACUAAAAUAUUGCGGUUUUCGUGGUGGAAAUUGGUGAAUCGUCAUUCACCUACCUUUCAAAUAUGAUAUAGCUUAGAUUACGGCAUACCUCUUCUAAGUUAUAUUAUAUUGUGAUUGGAUCCUAGCCUUAAUAUUACAUUUGGGUGUUUUAUUAAGGACUCUCUUAUAUCUAAACUAAUCUUGUCCUCUUUCCUUCAGAUGUCUUUCAACAAUGCUUCUGGCUCUAAUCCUAAUGGCUCCUUUACCCUUAUGAACUUGUGUGGGAAAGUCACCUUUGAUGGAUCCAACUUCAAUGAGUGGAUCAGAAACAUCAGGAUGAUUACCCGCUACGAGGACAAAGAAUAUGUCCUUGACAAGGAGCUUAAGGAGAUUGAUGAGUCCACUGCAACUCCUCAGGAGAUCGCUGAAUUUCGGGCACAUGAAAGGGAUGCUACGAAAGUGGCUUGCAUCAUGAUGGCCACGAUGACAGCGGAACUCCAAAAGUCUUAUGAGGAUUUCUACCCUUAUGACAUGCACCAAGAUUUGAUGGAAAGAUACCAUCAAAGUGCAAGACAAGAGAGGUAUGAAAUCAUCUGCUCCAUGAUAACAACCAUGAUGAAGGACGGGGAAUCCGUCACGAGCCACAUGCAGAAAAUGCAAAGGUAUGUGGAUCGUUUGCUGAAGCUUAAUGUGAACUUCCCGGAGGAUCUUGCAAUAGAUAUUAUUUUGCAUUCCUUACCAUCGUGCUAUGAUCAAUUCCGCAUGACAUAUCACAUGAACAAGGAAGAAGUCACCCUCAGCAAACUUCAGGGACUUCUCAAGACCGCAGAAACAGGUCUUAAGGGGAAGUCGGUUGCUAUCACUCCUACUCAAAACUCUACUCCGGUUUUGGCAAUCGGGAAAAGUCGAGGGAGGAAGAGAAAGAGCUCUUCUAAGGGUACCAAGGCUCGGACCCUUGAUGGCUCUUCUUCAAGUGGAACCAAGAAAGGUUUCGUUACUCCUUCUUCUGACCCAAAAGAGGCUGAAUGCUUCUAUUGCCAUGAAAAAGCUCAUUGGAAGCGGAACUGCCCAAAAUACCAGCAAGAUGUGAAGGAUGGGAAAGUUAAACCCAACCAUGCAGGUAUUUACACUAUCAUUUCUAAUAACUCACCCCAUUCUAAUUCUUGGGUCCUUGAUACCGGGUGUGGUAUUCACAUUUGUUGUGACUUGCAGGGACUAAGAAGAAGUGAGGAUGUGGAGCAAGGAAGGAUAAACUUGAUCAUGGGGAAUAGGAAAGCUAUACCUGUUACCAAGAUUGGAGUUUAUACUUUAUCGCUAAGUAGUGGGUUUAGUUUAGAUUUGAAUAAGUGUUGUUAUUCGCCAGGAAUGGCAAGAAAUAUUAUUUCCUUUCAUGCUUUGUACAAACAAGGGUUUACCUUUUCAUUUAAUAAUGAAGUUGGUUCUAUAGAUGUUUUCUAUAAUAAUGUCUUUUAUUUUAAAGCAUUACCUUGUGAUGGUGUGUAUGAAGCUGUAUCUGUUGUAGAUAACUUGGGAAAUAAUGUUUUGUGUAUUGAUUCUACUAAUAAUAACUUGGAUAAAGCAUCUUUAUGGCAUUGUCGUCUUGGACAUAUAAGCAAGAAACGCAUAGGCCAACUCCAAAAGGAUGGAGUCUUGGAGUCGUUUGACCUAAAGUCAGAUGAUAGUUGCGAAUCAUGCUUACUUGGAAAAAUGACAAAGUCACCCUUCACAGGUUCGUGUGAGAGGGGUGAAGGUUUGUUGGACCUUAUACACACGGAUGUGUGUGGACCAUUCAAACAUGCCACAAGGGAUGCUAAUCGUUAUUAUUUGACUUUUACUGAUGAUUAUAGUAGAUAUGGAUAUGUCUACUUGAUCAAGCAUAAGUCAGAGACUUUCGAGAGGUUUAAGGAAUUUAAACAGGAAGUCGAGAAUCAAUUGGGCAGGAACAUUAAGAUGCUUCGAUCCGAUCGUGGUGGUGAGUAUCUUAGUUCAGAGUUCCUCGACUAUCUAAGGGAAUGUGGGAUAGUCUCACAAUUGACACCUCCCAGGACACCACAGUUGAAUGGUGUGGCUGAGAGGCGUAAUCGAACCUUGUUAGAUAUGGUUCGUUCCAUGAUGAGUCGAGCUACGCUACCAAUCUCAUUCUGGGGGUAUGCCUUAGAGACUGCCGCCCAUAUUCUUAAUCUAGUCCCUACAAAGAAAGUUGCCAAAACUCCUCACGAGAUGUGGACUGGUAAAGUACCUAAACUAGACCACAUCAAGAUUUGGGGUUGCGAGGCUUUCGUGAGACGCGAGACUCAUGAUAAGCUCGAACCUCGAAGCGAGAGGUGUAUUUUCAUCGGUUACCCACAGCGAUCCUUUGGUUACCUCUUCUACAGACCUAGUGACAAUGUGGUCUUUGUAGCAAGAAGAGGAGUCUUUCGAGAAAGAGAGUUUAUAAGCCAAGGAGACAGUGGGAGGCAAAUUGAUCUUGAAGAAAUUCAAGAAUCAAGCGGUGAAGGAACUUCAAACUCUAGCCCUCAACUUGAGGAGGAAACUCCUGUUGAGCCAAUUGACAAAUCUGUACCUCUGAGACGUUCCACGAGAGUUAGGAGUGCACCUGAGCAUUACUAUGGAUUCCAUAUUACUGCAGAAGGUGAGACACUUAUUAGUGAUGAGACACUAGUAAGUCAAGAUGACCCUAACAGCUACGAGGAAGCCAUGGCAGGCCCCGAGUCUGCUAAAUGGAAAGAGGCUAUGGAUAGCGAGAUACAAUCCAUGUAUGACAAUCAAGUUUGGAACUUGGUUGAAAAUGUACCAGGUCGUAAGACAGUAGGGUGCAAAUGGGUCUUCAAGAAGAAGACCGACAUGGAUGGUAAAGUACACACUUAUAAGGCUAGACUGGUUGCAAAGGGCUUCUCUCAAAUUCCUGGAGUGGAUUAUGAUGAGACCUUUUCUCCGGUAGCCAAGAUUAAGUCUAUUCGGGUUCUGUUAGCCAUAGCUGCAUUUCAUGACUAUGAAAUAUGGCAGAUGGAUGUCAAAACCGCUUUCCUUAAUGGAAAGUUGGCUGAAGAUGUUUACAUGAGUCAGCCAGAGGGUUUUGUCAGCAACGAGUACCCUAAUAGAGUGUGUAAGCUUGAGAAAUCCAUUUAUGGAUUGAAGCAAGCACCUCGCAGAUGGAAUCUUUGCUUUGAUGAAAAGGUCAAGGAAUUUGGCUUUUCUAGGAGUGAAGAUGAAUCUUGUGUGUAUGUCAAGGCUAGUGGGAGUAUAGUUAGCUUUUUGGUAUUGUAUGUGGAUGACAUACUACUCAUAGGAAACGACAUUCCAACCCUGCAGGAAGUAAAGUCCUGGCUUGGGAAGUGUUUCGCUAUGAAGGACCUUGGUGAAGCUGCCUAUAUUCUAGGGAUAAGAAUCUUGAGAGAUCGGAGUAAAAGACUAAUUGGACUUAGUCAGAGUACCUACUUGGAUAAGGUGCUGAAGAGAUUCAGCAUGCAGGAUUCCAAGAAAGGAGAGUUACCCAUCCAGAGUAACACCAGAUUGAGUAAGACACAAAGCCCUAGCACUGAGGCUGAGAUAGCAGAAAUGAGUCGAACACCUUACGCUUCGGCUGUAGGAUCGAUCAUGUAUGCUAUGACGUGUACUCGACCCGAUGUAGCUUUUGCCUUGAGCAUGGUUAGCAGGUAUCAGGCGAACCCUGGCAAGGCACACUGGACUGCGGUAAAGAAUAUCCUCAAGUACCUACGGAGGACUAAGGACUGGGUCCUUACCCUCGGUGGGAGUGAUGACUUGAGAGUUGUAGGGUAUAGUGAUGCUAGCUUCCAGACUGAUAGGGAUAAUUUCCGCUCUCAGUCGGGCUGGGUCUUUACCCUAAACGGAGGAGCAAUUUCUUGGAAGAGUUCCAAGCAAGAGACAGUGGCAGAUUCUACUUGUGAAUCAGAGUAUAUUGCAGCUAGUGAAGCAGCAAAGGAGGCGAUAUGGCUGAAGAACUUCAUUGGAGACCUUGGAGUUGUACCAGCUAUUAAAGAGCCAAUGGAAAUUUUCUGUGAUAGUGAAAGUGCUGUUGCCUUAGCCAAGGAACCAAGGGAUCAUGGGAGAUCCAGACACAUCGACAGAAAAUACCAUUUCAUUAGACAUCGGAUCGAAGAAGGACUCCUCGUGGCAAAGAGGGUAUCAUCGGAUGAGAACCCAGCAGAUCCCCUCACGAAGGGACUGAGUAGGGUUAAGCAUCUCCAGCAUGCUCGGAGCAUAGGGCUGAAGGAUGAUAUAAGUUUUAGUAGUUAGAUAACCCAGAAAUUUGUAAAGUGUAAUUGACAUUUGAUGAUGAAUAAAAGGUGUUUUAUUUAUGAGUAAAGUGUUGCUAUCUCUUGUCGAUCGUUUACUAUAUUUCUUUUGCAUGUUUUGACUUCCAGAAUAAUUUUGUUUGGUAUAACAUAUUAUUCAAACCUCCACAGUCGGUCAUAUGUUGGAAGUAGAUAUGAAUCAAGACUGUCAUGUUUGGUUGUAGAGGUCUUGGACAAGGCUACAACAAUCAUGAGUGCUCAUAAGUUCUGAGCAUUGGACUCAACCCACGCUCACUGGAAUCACUUCAUGGAAUUCUAUCUCGAGUGAUCGUGAGACGGUAAUAUCAUAUAAGUCUUCAAACCUAGAGAUAUGAUUUGUUACUUACAAGUUGGUUAUGCAUUGACUGUACGAAACCGCAUUGGUAACUCGAUGUUAUAAAACGUACUUUUGUGUGUAAUUCAAUGAGUGGUAGAACAAACAUAUGAGUCGAAGUUUAUCUGUUCCUUCUUGGAUUAGAAGCUGAUAUCUGGGCCCCUCGAUGAUUUUGUUUUGACCCAUGUACCGGGCCCGGUCAGAACUAAGUUGAUGUGUUCAAUUAAGUUCUAUGUCAAACAAAUCGGAAAUCGGGAAACAAAUGCUGGACAAUAAGCAAGACAAUGUUCCAUGUAUUUGUCCGGCUGAUAUCUAGAACGGAGGAUUAUAUGAUCACUUAUCUUAAAUGGCGUACCAUCAUCUUCUCAGUUCCGAGAGACCUUGAAAGAGCUACGAUUGCCGGUCGGUUCCUGAAGUACUAGAGAUAUAGUUAUUAGACUUAUCCAAGUGGGAGACUGUUGGAUAAGGUGUCUAAGUCCAUAACUAUUUCGGGCUUGUACUUGACCCGACCCGGCAUGGUCCAUUUGGGUUGCAUGGCACCAUGCAAUUGGAUAGACUAAAUGAGAGAAAUAACACUUGGAGAUUAUUAAUAUAUUAUAAGUUCUAAUAUAUUAAUAAUAUUAUUUGAUUAGUUGAUCAAAGAAUUAAUUUGGAAUUAAUUAAGUGAUCAAAGG